GGAGCAAGGGCGAAGAGUAAGCGUUCAAGUGACAAAGGGCAGACGGGGAAUGCCUAGGCAGCAGAAGGCGAAGAAGGACGUGGCGAGCUGCGAAAAGCUUCGGGGAGCCGCUCACAGGCGUUGAUCCGGAGGAAUCCGAAUGGGGGAACCCCACUGGGGGAAUGCCCAGUGAGCCUUGCCUGAAUUCAUAGGGCAAGGCGGCAAACCCGGGGAAGUGAAACAUCUCAGUACCCGGAGGAAAAGAAAUCAAACGAGAUUCCCCAAG
rnacentral:rRNA from 1 species